rnacentral:rRNA from 1 species
UACGAAGGGGGCUAGCGUUGUUCGGAUUUACUGGGCGUAAAGCGCACGUAGGCGGAUCGUUAAGUUGGGGGUGAAAUCCUGGAGCUCAACUCCAGAACUGCCUUCAAUACUGGCGAUCUAGAGUCCGGAAGAGGUGAGUGGAACUCCUAGUGUAGAGGUGGAAUUCGUAGAUAUUAGGAAGAACACCGGUGGCGAAGGCGGCUCACUGGUCCGAUACUGACGCUGAGGUGCGAAAGCGUGGGGAGCAAACAGG